UCAAGCGACUAAGUGUAUGUGGUGGAUGCCUUGGCGAUCACAGGCGAUGAAGGACGUGACAGCCUGCGAAAAGCUGUGGGGAGCUGGCAAAUAAGCUUUGAUCCACAGAUGUCCGAAUGAGGGAACUCACCUGCUUUGCAGGUAUCCCAUCCUGAAUAUAUAGGGAUGGGAGGCGAACGAAGCGAACUGAAACAUCUAAGUAGCUUCAGGAAAAGAAAUCAACCGAGAUUCCGAAAGUAGCGGCGAGCGAAAUCGGAUCAGCCCAGCACUCGAUAGCAGCCAACUUACGGGAACGGUCUGGAAAGUCCGGCCAUAGAGGGUGAUAGCCCCUUACUGGAAAAGGCAGCUGUGGUACUAAGUGUGCGAUAAGUAGAGCGGGACACGUGACAUCCUGCUCGAAGAUGGGGGGACCAUCCUCCAAGGCUAAAUACUCGUGAUCGACCGAUAGCGUACCAGUACUGUGAAGGAAAGGCGAAAAGAACCCCGGGAGGGGAGUGAAAUAGAACCUGAAACCGCAUACAUACAAACAGUAGGAGCCUCGUUAAGGGGUGACUGCGUACCUUUUGCAUAAUGGGUCAGCGACUUACGUUUAAUGGCGAGCUUAACCGUAUAGGGGAGGCGCAGCGAAAGCGAGUUCGAACAGAGCGUUCAGUCGUUAGGCGUAGACCCGAAACCAGAUGAUCUAUCCAUGGCCAGGUUGAAGGUGUGGUAACACACACUGGAGGACCGAACCGACUAGUGUUGCAAAAUUAGCGGAUGAGCUGUGGAUAGGGGUGAAAGGCUAAACAAAUCUGGAGAUAGCUGGUUCUCCCCGAAAACUAUUGAGGUAGUGCCUCGUGUAUGACUCCAGGGGGUAGAGCACUGUUAUGGCUAGGGGGACAUGGCGUCUUACCAAACCAUGGCAAACUCCGAAUACUUGGAAGUUUGAGCACGGGAGACAGAGCACCGGGUGCUAACGUCCGGACUCAAGAGGGAAACAACCCAGACCGCCGGCUAAGGUCCCUAAUAUUGACUAAGUGGAAAACGAAGUGGAAAGGCUAAGACAGUCAGGAAGUUGGCUUAGAAGCAGCCAUCCUUCAAAGAAAGCGUAAUAGCUCACUGAUCGAGUCUUUCUGCGCGGAAGAUGUAACGGGGCUAAGUCAAUAACCGAAGCCGCGGAUUCACACUUGUGUGUGAGUGGUAGGGGAGCGUUCUGUAAGCCUGCGAAGGUGACUCGUAAGGGUUGCUGGAGGUAUCAGAAGUGCGAAUGCUGACAUGAGUAACGUUAAAGCGGGUGAAAAGCCCGCUCGCCGUAAGCCCAAGGUUUCCUGCUCUACGUUCAUCGGAGCAGGGUGAGUCGGCCCCUAAGGUGAGGCUGAGAAGCGUAACUGAUGGGAACAAGGUUAAUAUUCCUUGACCACCGCUGAAUGCGAAGGGGGGACGGAGUAUUGAAGAUCAUCCGGGUGUUGGAUAUCCCGGUUUGCGAGCGUAGGAGGCUGACAGGCAAAUCCGUCAGCGAAUCUCCGAGGCAAAGCAUCGAGCUCUCUUUUGAGCGAAGUGAUUGGAUGUGCUUCCAGGAAAAGCCUCUAAGCUCCAGUUCAGCGGGACCGUACCGCAAACCGACACUGGUGGGCGAGCUGAAUAUGCUCAGGCGCUUGAGAGAACUCAGGAGAAGGAACUCGGCAAAUUGACACCGUAACUUCGGGAUAAGGUGUGCCUUUGUAGCGUGGAGGGAGAAACACCCCGAGCGCGAAGAGGUCUCAGAUAAUCGGUGGCUGCGACUGUUUAUUAAAAACACAGCACUCUGCAAAGACGAAAGUCGACGUAUAGGGUGUGAUGCCUGCCCGGUGCUGGAAGAUUAAUUGAUGGGGUGCAAGCUCCUGAUCGAAGUCCCAGUAAACGGCGGCCGUAACUAUAACGGUCCUAAGGUAGCGAAAUUCCUUGUC
rnacentral:rRNA from 1 species